rnacentral:rRNA from 1 species
UACGUAGGGCGCAAGCGUUGUCCGGAAUUAUUGGGCGUAAAGAGCUCGUAGGCGGUCCGUCACGUCUGCCGUGAAAACCCGAGGCUUAACCUCGGGCCUGCGGUGGAUACGGGCGGACUAAAGGUAGGUAGGGGAGAAUGGAAUUCCCGGUGUAGCGGUGAAAUGCGCAGAUAUCGGGAGGAACACCGGUGGCGAAGGCGGUUCUCUGGGCCUUACCUGACGCUGAGGAGCGAAAGCGUGGGGAGCGAACAGG